rnacentral:rRNA from 1 species
CCGGGCGACCGGCGCACGGGUGGGUAACACGUAUGGAACCUGCCCGCAGCAGGGGGAUAAGCGGAAGAAAUUCCGUCUAAUACCGCGUAACAACGUUGGGAGGCAUCUCCCGAUGUUUAAAGAUUUAUCGGCUGCGGAUGGCCAUGCGGCGCAUUAGCUAGUCGGCGGGGUAACGGCCCACCGAGGCGACGAUGCGUAGGGGUUCUGAGAGGAAGGUCCCCCACACUGGUACUGAGACACGGACCAGACUCCUACGGAAGGCAGCAG